rnacentral:lncRNA from 1 species
UUCCUGGUGCUGCAGGAAAAGAAGGUGCAAAGGGUGAUCCAGGUCCUCAAGGUAUCUCAGGGAAAGAUGGACCAGCAGGAUUACGUGGUUUCCCAGGGGAAAGAGGUCUUCCUGGAGCUCAGGGUGCACCUGGACUGAAAGGAGGGGAAGGUCCCCAGGGCCCACCAGGUCCAGUUGUAAGUAUGAUGAUAAUAAAUAGCCAGACAAUCAUGGUUGUGAAUUACAGCUCUUCUUUCAUUACUCUCAUGCUGUGAUUCCACAGUGUGUGGGAGAGAAAAUAAACACAUGUCAAUCAAA